GGCCUUAUAGCGCUCAACCACAUCAUCUCAUUGUUGCCCCUACACAGAGAAUAACAAAAAGUUCCUGCAACCAGAUUCUACGUUAUGGGGCAUGAGGUCCAGGGUAUCGCAGCUCUAGUUAGCUGCCAUCUGUUGGUCUAGUCAGUGUGCCAGAGGCUCCCAGGGAAUAAAUGGAGAGUUCAGAAGGUGGGGUGGAGAACCAAAGCUAAUUAUGGAUUGUGUGAAUACAGGGUCUCAGAUACAGAGGCAACCAUUUUUCAGAUGUCUUGGAGAUGGUGCUGCAAGUGAUAAGACAAGAUUUUUAUUAGGAUAAGUGUACAUAACAUAAAAUUGACCAUUUUAGCCAUUUUUAAGUGGCUUUAAGUACAUUCACAGUAUUGUGCAAGCAUCCAGAACUUUUUGUUUUGUUUCCCAAACUGAAACUCUGUACCCAUUAAAUAGUAACUUUAGUCAGGUGCUGUGGUGUGUGGCUGUUGUCCAAGGCAGAGCCAGGAGGAUCACUUGAGUCCUGGGGUCUGAGAUCAGCUGGGCAAAAUAACAAGACAGGUUUCAAAAACAUAAACAAACAAAACACUCCCUUCCCCGCCCCUCAGACAAUGGCAACCACCCUGUACCUUCUGUACCAUGUGUCAGAAUUUCCUUCCUUCCUUUCUUCUUUUUUUUUUCUUUUCAUGGUGCUGGAGGUCAAACCCAGAGCAUCUACAGGCUGGGCAAGUGCUCUACCUUCUUUCUUUUUAGUCUGUUUUUGUUUCUUUUCUGCCCCUCCCCCUUCCUUCUUAAGGCUGAAUAAGGUUCCAUAUUUUGUCUAUACACAGUGUGUUUACCCAUUCAUCUCCCAUUGGGCACUUGAGUUGUCUCUAGCUUUUGGCUGUUAUGAAUUAUGUCCAUUGUCGUUGCAUUCUCCAACGUAUGACAACUUUGUCUUUAUGCAGACUCUCAGAUCCUAAAAGGACACUGUCAGGUCAGUGGGGUGGCGGUGACUUAGGACAAAGCAACCCUCAACGGGAAAGAAACAUCAAUCAGGCACCAACAGAAACGCCUGUCAAUCAGCAGGACCCCCGGCCAAUCCUGGAGUUCAGCCAGCUCCCCCAACCAACUCCAAUGGGACAAAAGACUCUAAAAACACCUUUUCCUGUCCCAAGCCCUUCCCUAAAAACACCUUUUCCUGUAAGCCCCAUAAAAGUUCAGUCCGGUCAAACUUCCACGCGGUUUCUCCUCAGACCCUUCUCCUGUCCACUCUGUGGGUCUGAUUGAGUUCUGCCUGGGAGUGAGUCUCAAUAAAGCCUCCUUUGGCGGCCUUUUUAAAUCUGCCUCCCUUGGUCACUGCCCACCUUUGCCUGAUCUUACAGACACUUAGUAUCCUGUGGGGAUUAGCAGAAAGAAUGGCAUGAUGGAGGUCCUCAGGCUUGACAUCUCUUUGAAUCUUAAAAAAGGAGUGUGUUCGGAGAAUCAUGCUGUGGUGCCCUUGAAGACCAAUUCCUGGGAAAAAAGAAUGAUGCGAAUUAAAACCAUCUUCCUAGAGAAGAGCACAGUCAAGAAAGCUAUGGGAACUGUUCCCAAGGAACAAAGACUUUUCCUUGUCACUCCCUAAGGCAGGCGAGAAAGCUUUGGAUAGAGGCACAGAGUCACUGAGACCUGAUUUCAACUCAGUGUAUUGAAGAAUUUGUUAACCUCUGAAAGUGUUUAACACACGAACAGUCAACCUGGGUGAAAUGGGUGUCCUCUGUGAGAACUCACACACGGAAGCUGAUUCCAGAACUGAAGGAGCGCAGAGGAUCUGUGACUUCUGUUACUCCAGCAUCUCUGUCUUUCUCAUGCCUGAAACAUCAGGAGAAAACAGAAAUGACCAAAGAAUUUCCAAAGCCAGUAACUAUUCAGUGUAAAUUUCGUUUAAAUAUCUCCCAGUGUCUCGUUCCCCAGGUGAUGUUGGAAUCUGACUAGCUAAUCCUUAAAAAGAAAGAGAGGGAAACAUUAUCCAAUACAGUGACCUGAGCCAGGACAGAUCACCAGGUACACUGGGGUACCAACUCAGAGGUCCCAGCUCUCACUUGUGUAUUAGACUAGGAAAAUAAAUCCAGAUCAAAUUAAACAGAACCUUGUUAUGUUGCUAAUUAAUGAAAAUUAAUGACUCCAGUUUGUCUAGUUUAGUAGACUUUGAUAGUAAUUUCUCUCCAUUGAGUUUUUCUCUUUUCCUUUUUCACUAAAAUUUGUGGGGGGGAAGAAAUGCCUGAAGAAGCCCAGUAGACCAUUCUGAGACUCUGAGGUUGGAAAAUAAAUUGGAAUGACCUCCUUUGGAUGGCAUUUUGGCCACAGCCAUCAAAAUGUGAAGUGCACAUACCCUUUGACCCAGCAAUCCCACUUGUAGGAAUUUACCAGCCAG
rnacentral:lncRNA from 1 species